rnacentral:misc_RNA from 1 species
AAGUCGUAACAAGGUUUCCGUAGGUGAACCUGCGGAAGGAUCAUUAACACGUUUCGUUCCGAACGUUUUCUGACCUUUUUCUUUUUUAUCCGUGCACAAUUCAAAACCCGGCUGUCAUUCAGUUCUGUCUCUUGUGCAAUUGUUUUCACUAACUUUGUGCUUUUGACGAAUUGGGCGCUGCCACUUUUCACCCAACCUUGAAUCUAAUUGUUCUGAACUUUUAGUUGAUGGGAAACUGUCAACGAAUAAAAAAAAUAAACAACAACUCUUAACAACGGAUAUCUUGGUUCUC